rnacentral:tRNA from 1 species
GUGGGGUUGUAGUUCAGUGGCAGAGCACUUGCCUAGCAUGUGUGAGGUGCUGGGUUUGAGCCUCAGCACCACA